GGUCAUGAGUGACAGCCAUGUGGCCCCGGCCGGCUGUCCGGCAACCCUCCGUCCGUGGCGGGGUGCCCCGGGUGAAGACCAGGUCGUAGGCAGCGAGGUCUACGGCAAGCGCGGACC
rfam:Streptomyces sp. Tu 6176 genomic scaffold scaffold00003, whole genome shotgun sequence.